UGGGGAAUUUUGCACAAUGGGGGAAACCCUGAUGCAGCGACGCCGCGUGAUUUAGAAGGCCUUCGGGUUGUAAAAAUCUUUUUUACGGGAUGAAAAUGACAGUACCGUAAGAAUAAGGUCCGGCUAAAUACGUGCCAGCAGCCGCGGUAAUACGUAUGGACCGAGCGUUGUCCGGAAUCAUUGGGCGUAAAGGGUACGUAGGCGGCCUAGUAAGUUAGAAGUGAAAUAAUAUAGCUCAACUAUAUAAAGCUUUUAAAACUGCUAGGCUUGAGAGAUGGAAGGGAAAGUGGAAUUCCUAGUGUAGCGGUGAAAUGCGCAGAUAUUAGGAAGAAUACCGGUGGCGAAGGCGACUUUCUGGUCAUCAUCUGACGCUGAGUUACGAAAGCGUGUGUAGCAAACAGG
rnacentral:rRNA from 1 species